UACGGGGGGGGCAAGCGUUGUUCGGAAUUACUGGGCGUAAAGGGCGCGUAGGCGGCGCAACAAGUCACUUGUGAAAUCUCCGGGCUUAACCCGGAGCGGCCAAGUGAUACUGUCGUGCUAGAGUGCGGAAGGGGCUACUGGAAUUCUCGGUGUAGCGGUGAAAUGCGUAGAUAUCGAGAGGAACACCUGCGGCGAAGGCGGGUAGCUGGGCCGACACUGACGCUGAGGCGCGAAAGCCAGGGGAGCGAACGGG
rnacentral:rRNA from 1 species